UACGGAGGUGCGAGCGUUGUCCGGAAUCACUGGGCGUAAAGGCGCGUAGGCGGCGCGGAUAGUCGGCGGUGAAAGCCGGAGCUCAACUCCGGUCGGCCGUCGAUACUUCCGGCUUGAGCACUGUAGAGGCAGAUGGAAUUCCGGGUGUAGCGGUGGAAUGCGUAGAGAUCCGGAAGAACACCGGUGGCGAAGGCGGUCUGCUGGGCGAGUUGCUGACGCUGAUGCGCGA
rnacentral:rRNA from 1 species